rnacentral:lncRNA from 1 species
CUUCAUUUUGCCAAAGCAAAAGAUGUUUGGAUCCUUCUGGUGUCUCCUGUUCACUGCCAUGAAUAGUGUGCAUUUUCAUUUUUAUCUAGUUACUGGAACUGAACAGAUGAUGAGAAUCCAAAUACAUUCCAGAAAUGCUAUCCAUGAUAUGGAAGGGAAAUUAGAAUGGCUGUUAUGACUCUCUUGAGGAGAAAAUCUUUUCAAUCUGCUUGUUUUUGUUGUGUAUCGCUCCCUUUCUCAAUCCUUUCCUUCUUUUAUUUCUUGAACCAAACUGAGGAGCUUAGCAAAGCUCAGGCUUCUCAUGAUUCCAGAAAGUUCUCAUGAAUUUAUUGGCUAUUUCCUAGAGAGUCAAAGUCUCUAGACCUUCAGGAACCUGCAACGAGGAAGCCCACAGGUCUUCUCCCCAUGAAGUUUAAAUGUUAAAGUUUCAGGUUGAAUUUGGAGCCUUGGUUAGCACUGAGGUUCUGAGUUUCUGAAGAGAAACUUCUGUGGGGGAUGUUUAGUGUAGCUGCCCACCUCGGGAUGUCUGCAGUAGCUCAGAAGCUAAAAUGCAGAGUUGAUCUGGUUUCAUUUUCUAGUAGGAAGCUUGAAAUGGUAAUAUAAAUGUGAAUUAAAACAUAAAUUCGGAAUACCAAAAGACAGCACAAAAGUUGGUCAAGAUAUGAAAAAAAGCAAAUUAGUUUCCUAAGAAAACAAAGAAGCAUCAAAAAGAGUGUUUAAUGUGCUUAGCCCUAGAACUUACUUUUCUAUUUUUAAAGCUCAAUAUUUCAUCAACUGCCCCUCUCCCAGAGGGAGUGAAGUAAAUAGUUGUCAUAUCUGGGCCCCAUCAUCUCCAGGUGGUGAUAAGAACAUUACCAGCACUUCAUGAUUUGGGGAAGAAUCAGGAGAGAUAAGGCAUGUAUUGUGCUCCCCUCACUACCCAAAUCUCAGGAAGCACUCAGAAAUUUAGGCAUCAGCAAACUAUAGCUCCUGGGCAAGUCCAGGCCAGUACCUGUUUUGAACAGCCAGUGAGCCAAGAAUGGCUUUUACAUUUUUGAAUGGUUUGAAAAAAAUGGAAAGAAUAACAUUUCAUGACGUGUGGAAACUAUAAUUCAAAUCUCAGUGUGUGCUGAUAAUGUUUUAUUAGGUCACGGCCAGACUCACUCCUACCACGUCACCUGUGGCUGCUUUGCUGUUAGGGCAGCAGAGCUGGGGAGACCAUGCUAGCGGCAGGACCUUUUGCAAGAAAGCUGGGUGACCCCCAAUGUAAUCGUUAGUGACCAGGCUGCAAGGUCAUCUUUGAGUUCUUCCCAGUCAUGAGGAUUAAAUUUCCUAGUAAAAUGACAUGGGCGUCCCCAUGAAGAGAAGGGAUAUGUAAAAAGGAAAAACUUAAUGGGAGAGAUGGCAUCGGUCAAAACAAUAUGUGGCCCCGGAACCCUGGCUGAAGAGCAGUCAGAUGCGAUUGGUCAGGUCACAAGAGGGCUCUCACUCCUGGCUUUUUCUGGGUCAAAUAGAAUUGAGUUUAUUUUUUUAAAUUUCUCUAUGCCCAACUUUCCAAAACAAUCUGUCAACCAGAAAGGUCCAUUCAUAUUUAAUCAGAAAAAAAAAAGUUUACUGUUUUUCCUGGGGUAUGCUUUUUAUCCUAUCAGAAAUGAUAUCUAUAUAAACCGUAGAAAUUAUUGAAUCUUUCAGUGGUGAUUUGGAAAUGUUGGGCUGUUAAUGGACUGAGUUAAUGUUCUAACUAACGAAAACAACUUCCUUCCCAAGGCAAAGUACACUUAUGCUGUUUCCCUCUUAAUAAGAGAACUUUUAGUCACCAGUGAAACCCAAGCACGACCUGGAUGAGAAAGAAAAAGGAAUGUAUUGAGCGUCAUCAUUGGAAAGUAGAAUUGAUUUCAAGUUCCCUCAGGGCUCUCCCUUGGCUCAGCCUUCUUGGUCUGGGUGCCUUCUCAGCUUUCCAACAUCACAUUACCCAGUCCUGAGUAAAGGAGAGAUCUCUCCAGGUCCAAGCCCACAGGUCCUGGAAUUGUCUCCUUCAUUGGCUCAGAUGUGUUCACGUGCUCUGUUAGUCAGCUUUUGCCAGGUUUUGUUGCAGUAACAACCAAAUCCCAAAUUUUAGUGGCUUUCAACAGCUUUCUCUCUCUUUUUUUUUUUUCCACUUGUGCCAUAAGUCAGCUGUAUAUUUACCACGGCUAUUUCACGUGGUCUCUUUCUGCUGAGAUCUAGCAUAAAUAAGCGGUCCCUCCACAAGGACCUGUGGGGAGAGAAGAACGCCAUGGAGAAGCCACAAUGGCUCUUAAAGCCUCAGCUCAGAUGUGGCUUAUGUCAUAUCCACUCGUAUCCAUUCACUAAAGCAGGUCACCCAGCAAGGGGCACAGAUGUGUGAUUCUUUCCCAAGAAGAUGGAGUGAAUAAUUGUAAAAAUAACACACUCUGCCCACCCGAUGCUGCCUUCCCAAGGAGCUAGACCAGGUUGGUUGGCUGAGACUUUUUCAAUCAGUCAGGGAGGAUGGUUGCCCCAAAACAAAACUGGCUGCUAUAAACUGAUGAGAAAAAAAAAGAGUUACUGGGUAGGAAAGAAAAUCUCUAAUUCUCCGUAACCAAAUAAUCACAUUAUAAAUCCAAUAAAAAAAAAGAAUCUAAAAUAAAACCCUUAAAUACCAAUAUUAUUAUGUGGUGGCUGAAGUUUUAAGUGGAGGAUAUCUGUUUUGCUAUAAAUUAGUUCCCAAAACUCACAGCUCUAAUAAAAAAAAGAAAGAAAACCUGUAUAAACAAAAUUUCAAAAGGCACACGCCUGUAAUCCCAGUGGCUUGGGAGGCUGAGGCAGGAAGAUCUCCAGUUCAAAGCCAGCCUCAGCAAUGGCAAGGUGCUAAGCAACACAGUGAGACCCUGUCUCUAAAUAAAAUACAAAACAGGGAUAGGAAUGUAACUCAUUGGGCGAGUGCCCCUGAGUUCAAUCCCUGGUACCAAUAAAUUAAAAAUAAAAAAUAUAAGUACGGUAUAAAAUUUGAGGUAAUAUGUAACACCCUUUACAGAAAGGUAUAUUUUGCAAGUUAAACAUACUGGCCAAUCCUAUACAAUGUAUACACCUUCCCUGUUGAAGUUAAGCAAGGGAGAUUCAAUUCUAAACUAUAGCUCAC